rnacentral:rRNA from 1 species
CUGUAUAGUCUACAAGCCCGUGAGCAAGCCCAAUCCUGUCUGAUCUCAGAAGCUAAGCAGGUUUGGGCCUGGUUAGUACUUGGAUGGCAGACCACCUAGGAAGCCCAGGUGCUGCAAGUG